AGCAGCCGCGGUAAUUCCAGCUCCAAUAGCGUAUAUUAAAGUUGUUGCAGUUAAAAAGCUCGUAGUUGAAUUUCGAGAUCAAAUUGUUGGUCGUGCCUCGGUACGUACUGGCAAUUUUGGUUUCUCCCUUCUGAAGAACCAUGAUGUCAUUAAUUUGGUGUCAUGGGGAAUCAGGACUGUUACUUUGAAAAAUUAGAGUGUUUAAAGCAGGCUCGCGCUUGAAUACAUUAGCAUGGAAUAAUGAAAUAGGACGUUUGAUUCUAUUUUGUUGGUUUCUAGGAUCGACGUAAUGAUUAAUAGGGAUAGUUGGGGGCAUUAGAUUCAAUUGUCAGAGGUGAAAUUCUUGGAUUUAUUGAAGACUAACUACUGCGAAAAGCAUUUGCCAAGGAUGUUUUCAUUAAUCAAGAACGAAAAGUUAGGGGAUCGAAGACGAUACAGAUACCGUCGUAGUCUUAACC
rnacentral:rRNA from 1 species